CGAAUCAAGGGAAGCGUGCCGGUGCAGGCAAGAGACCACCGUAAGCGUCGUUGCAACCAAUUAAGCGCCGAUUCCAAUCAGCGCGACUUCGCUCUCGCUGCCUAAGCGACAGCUGGUCCGUCAGACCGGGAACGCCCUCGACCCGGACCCUGGCGUCAUCUAGAGGGACCCACCCACGGGUUCGGUCGCGGAACCCGUGGGGACAUCAAACAGCGACUGGGAUCGUCAUCCUGACUUGUUCGCGUGAUCAGGAGAUCCGAGUAGAGACAUAGCGGACUGCGCACGGAGAAGCCUCGAGGGAAUGCC
rnacentral:misc_RNA from 1 species